rnacentral:lncRNA from 1 species
CAGCUUGAAAAGGCGUUAUCUUUCAACCCAUUGAACCCAGAACACUUGAACUCAGAAUAGGAUUCUACGGUUACACCUUUUAAUGGUGUCGUUGCUUCAAUGAAGAAACUGAGCUCCAGGACACACUGCAGUGAGGGAAAGAGUGGUGUGGUGUGGACAGACCUGGUUAAAAGAAAGUGUAAGGGGGCUGGAGAGAUGGCUCAGAGGUUAAGAGCACCGACUACUCUUCCAGAGGUCCUGAGUUCAAUUCCCAGCAACCACAUGGUGGCUCACAACCAUCUGUAAUGAGAUCUGGUGCCCUCUUAUGUUGUGCAGAUAUGUAUGGAAACAGAAUGUUGUAUACAUAAUAAAUAAAAUCUUAAAAAAAGAAAGUGUAAAUAAUUGUAAUGAAUUGUUGGUACCUGGGUCAUUCAUUGCAAUGCAUAAUUUAAUUUUAAUUCAAAUCACUAUCGGUUUUAAAUGUAGUCAAUAAGUAUCAAUUAAAG